ACGACGUAUUAAAAUUUCGUCAACUAAAUUGAGCUGUGGGACUUGACUAUAGUAUGCUAUAAAGUCCGAGUCAAAAUUUACAAUAAAUUAAAAUUUGACAACUAAAGUGUUAUGAACCUUAGGGUGCGUUUGGUUCGCACUAUCUUUUUAAGAUUUCUAGUAAUUCAAUAGGAAUAAAAAAAAUGACAGUAUUUGGCUAAACGCACUAAGUAAUUUAGUUGGUAAUAUUGGAUUUACUUGGGAAUGAGAUUCCUCCCAAAGUACUAAUCUCAUUCCUUUGAGGGAUGGUGGGUAUCCUUAUACUAAUGGAUUGGGAUAAUUAUAAUAUGCUAAUCUCUUUCUUUCUUCCUACCCGCCGGCUAGUUAGUAUUAUUUUUCUUUACACUCCAACCUCAUCUCUCUCUAAACUUAUCUUUUUCUCUCCAAACUUCAACUUUUUUUCUCUCUCUAAACUAAGCUCUCUUCCCCUCUUUUUCUAAAAUCUCAACUCUCUCCCUCUAAUCUCGACUCUAUUUCUCUUCCUAUUUCUUCAAUUAUGUUAUCUCUCUCUAACCCAUGUUCUCUCUCUUUUUUUUCUAAAAAAAUUGUUGAAAUUUUUUUUAGCAUUAUCUAAAAUUAAUUAAAGAAAUAAAUAAAUUAAUUGUAUUUUUUUUUGUAAUCUUAAAUAACAUAACUAAAUAAUAUGACUGUACGAACCAAACACAGGAAUGCCACAUUCUUAAUAAUAGUGUGAGAUCUCUGGUGUUCAGCAGUAAAGGCUUGUCGACAGCUCUGGAGAGUGUCGGGACAAGUCUGAGUGGCGUUGGCGCGAAAUAGACGCAAAAUAGACUCUGUGCGACGCGAGAGCAGCAUUUAGCAACAAAAUCUGCAAAUAGCUGAUUUUUUA
rnacentral:lncRNA from 1 species